GCCAACUUAGUACAGUGGUUUGAGUGUUGGACUAGAACUCUGGAAGACCAGGGUUCAAAUCCUUGCUUGGCC